ACCAGACUCCUACGGGAGGCAGCAGUGGGGGAUAUUGCACAGUGGGGGGAACCCUGAUGCAGCGACGCCGCGUGGGUGAAGAAGCGCCUCGGCGCGUAAAGCCCUGUCAGCAGGGAAGAAAAUGACGGUACCUGAAGAAGAAGCCCCGGCUAACUACGUGCCAGCAGCCGCGGUAAUACGUAGGGGGCAAGCGUUAUCCGGAUUUACUGGGGGUAAAGGGGGCGCAGACGGCAGCGCAAGCCAGGAGUGAAAGCCCGGGGCCCAACCCCGGGACUGCGCUUGGAGCUGCGCGGCUGGAGUGCAGGAGGGGCAGGCGGAAUUCCUGGUGUAGCGGUGAAAUGCGUAGAUAUCAGGAGGAACACCGGUGGCGAAGGCGGCCUGCUGGACUGCGACUGACGUUGAGGCCCGAAAGCGUGGGGAGCAAACAGGAUUAGAUACCCGAGUACC
rnacentral:rRNA from 1 species